rnacentral:lncRNA from 10 species
CAAAAACAGCUUUAUUGAGGUAUAAUUGACAUAAAAUAAACUGCACAUUUAAAGUGAACAGUUUGAAAGUUAUAUCUGCCAAACCAUCAACACAAUCGAGAAUGAACCCACCAGGCCAGGCGUGGGGGCUCACGCCUGCAGUCCCAGCUACCUGGGAGGCUGAGGUGGGUGGAUCGUGUGAGCCCAGGAAUUCGAGACCAGCCUGGGCAACAUGGCAAGACCCCAUCUCUACAAAAAAUACAAAAACUGGCCGGAACUGGGAUCUGGAAGGCGGAGGGGACGCAGUAGGCAUUUGUGCACUGUGAGUCCUGGUGUGGGGCCAUCGCAGCACUGCCAGCUCCCAUCAGGUCUCCCUGAUCAGAUGUUCCAACAUGUGUAUACAGAUGUGUACAACACCCAAGAGAAAUGAGUGUGUAUGUGCAGCAAGACAGAUUCGGAAAUGUUCAUAACAGCUUUAUGCCAGCCCCAAACUCAAUCCAAACGCCCAAGAGUAGAAAGAGUCAAAUGCGGCCCAUUCUUACAAUGGAACGCUACCUGGGAAGGCAAAGCAAUCGCUUAGCGCUACUCACGGCUGCAACAGAACAACAGUGCAGAGCAAUAGCAGGCAGACGCGAGUUCGUACCACGUGUGUUAAUCCAUUCUCACACUGCUGUACAGAAAUAGCCAAGACCGGGCAAUUUAUAUAGAAAGGAGGUUCAAUGGGCUCACGGUUCUGCAGGCUGUACAGGAAGCAUGGCUGCAUCUGCUUUUGGGGAAGCCUCAGGAAGCUUCCAAUCAUGGCGGGAGGCAAAGGGGGAGCAGGCACAUCAGAUGGCCACAGCGGGAGCAAGAGCCGGACAGUGGAGGUAGCACACACUGUUAAACAACUAUCAUGAGAACAGCACCCAGGGAUGGCGCGGAAGCAUUCAUGAGAAAUCUGCCCCCAUGACCCAGUCACUUCCCACCAGGCCCCGCCUCCAGCACUGGAGAUUGGGGCAGGGACACACAUCCAAACUAAAUCACGACACAAUCUCAUUGACAUGAAAUUCCAGAACAUGCAAAACUAUCUAUGUGUUUAAAGCCAGGUUUGGAUGUUCUCUGGUGCUACUCUCAUCAAAAAAGGCGGCCCACAGCGCCUCUCCCCUUGCAUACACUGGCCUCAGAGGCUUGCGUCUAGUGAGCAGGCUGCCGGGGAAGUGGCAGCACCUGAUCCCCAGGCCAAAACCUCAGGAGAGAGAGCAUGACGGAGGCGCUGCCGUUUGGGAAUGGACAUGAUAGAGCCGUGAGAAUGAGGAAGAUCACCGUCGGGAAUGAGUGCAGGCAGCUAAGAAGGCGCAGAGGCGUGUCUGGAGGGACUCACACCUUGUAGAGGCUGGGUAGAGAGAGCCCACGCACGCUGAGAAAGAACACAGACUUCAGCGUCACAGAGGUCACAAGAGACAAGCGGUUGGUGGGGGAGUAGGCACCGGCGAGAGAAAGUCCAAGAGGACUGGAUGGAUUUGACAACACGGAGAUCCCUGGUGUUCUGGAUGAACGCUGAUUGGAUGGAGUGGCAGGGGUAGAAGCAGAGGAAGAGGGACUGCACAGGGAAUGGGCAAGUGAGAAAACAGACAAGGAUUCUGAAAAGUUUAGCUACAAAGAGGAACAGAGAAUUAGGGUUGUGGUUGGAGGGGGUGUUGGGUCAAAUGAGUUUUUAUUUUUAUUCUUCAAGAACGGAAGCUACCAGGACAUGUUUGAUGAAAAUAGAUCCAGAGGCCGGGCGCAGUGGCUCACGCCUGUAAUCCCAGCAUUUUGGGAGGCCGAGGUGAGCGGAUCACCUGAGGUCAGGAGUUCGAGACCAGCCUGGCCAACAUGGGGAAACCCCGUCUCUACUAAAAAUACAAACAUUAGCUGGGCUUGGUGACACAUGCCUGUAGUUCCAGCUACUCAGGAGGCUGAGGCAGGAGAAUUGCUUGAACCCGGGAGGCAGAGGUUGCAGGGAGCUGAGAUCAUGCUGCUGCACUCCAGCCUGGGUGACAGAGUGACUCUGUCUCAAAAAAAAAAAAAAAAAGAAAAGAAAUAGAUCCAGAAGCAAGGAAGAAAUUGAUCAUGUCGGGUGACAUUAUGAGUGAAGAAGUCCUCAGAAAAGAGGAGAAACUUGCAAUUCUGGCCACAGUGGAAUAACUGAUGCCAGUUGUAAACACCUAAAACACUGGGCAACUAUUUUUAGAUAUCGGACAAUAGGCUGUGCAGGGCUGUGACCAGAGAGAAAACAAAGAAGGUGAGCCUUACAAGUACCCUGAGUUUCUGCCUGGAGGCACUUUCACACCAUGGUUCAGCAAAGGGGCCUGAGCGGAACCAGCAGUCUCACUGAAUUACUAGAGCGACCAAGCCAAUAGCAGAGAAAAAACAGAAUCCCAGAAAUAUGUAAUUAAUCCAAAAGUCAAAACAGAUGGGGUAAUAGAAAACAAAUAACAAGAUGAUAGACUUAACUCCAACCAUUAAAUGGAAAUGGAUUAAACAGACCAACUAAAGGCAGAGAUUGUCAGAUUGUUUAAAAGAAUAAGGCUGGGCUGGGUGCCACGGCUCACACCUGUAAUCCCAGCACUUUGGGAGGCUGAGGCGGGCAGAUCACUUGAGGUCAGGAGUUCGAGACCAGCUUGGCCAACAUGGUGAAACCUUGUCUCUACUAAAUAAAAAUAUAAAAAUUAGCUGGGCGUGGUGGCACACACCUGUAGUCCCAGCUACUAUGGAGGCUGAGGCAGAAGAAUCGCUUGAACCUGGGAGGCGGAGGUUGCAGUGAGCCAAGAUUGCACCACUGCACUUCAGCCUGGGUGACAGAGUAAGACUCUUGUCUGAAGAAAAAAAAAAAAAAAAAAAAAGCCGGGCACAGUGCCUCAUACCUGUAAUCCCAGCACUUUGGGAGGCUGAGGUGGGUGAAUCACCUGAGGUCAGGAGUUCGAGAUCAGACUGGCCAACAUGUUGAAACCCCGUCUCUACUAAAAAUAGAAAAAUCAGUCGGGCGUGGUAGCGGACGCCUGUAAUCCCAGCUACUCGGGAGACUGAGGCAGGAGAAUCACCUGAACCUGGGAGGCAGAGGUUACAAUGAGCCGAGAUCGCACCAUUGCACUGCAGCCUGGGUGACAAGAGCGAAACUCCAUCUCAAAAAAAAAAGUAAAUAUACAGACAGCCAGGGACAGGUGCAGUGGCUCACACCUGUAAUCUAGCACUUUGGGAGGCCGAGGCGGGCGGAUCACUGGAGGUCAGGAGUUCGAGACCAGCCUGGUCAACAUGUGGAAACCCUGUCUCUAUUAAAAAUACAAAAAAAU